rnacentral:lncRNA from 1 species
AGAAGUUUUCUCCUCCUGUCCUGUAACUGGUUUUCACUCACUCAACUGAGAGAUUUCUUUGUUGCAAUGAUGGGGUCUAAGAUAACACUUCUGGAGGCUGCAGGCGAGAAACACAGCUGAUAUCAUCUUUUAUUGUGUGUUGUUAUUUGCCUAGCAUUAUAAAUUAAGGAGGAAUAGUAACAAAGAGCUUGAAGACAUGCACAGCUCACAGGCCCCGGGUGGAGGCUGGCGACAUCAGACAGACAGAACCAAGACAUCUGAGGGGCAACCAGGAGGUGCGUGUGGCUGCAGAGCACACAGACUUGUCUUUGGACAAAAUUGAGAAGAACUCAUAAACUUGGCUUCCUCGCUUCUGCUCCUCAGACGCGCGUGGAUGAUUUGAAGAUAUUAGCCUAACAAGAUGGAAGCAGGUUUAAAAUUUUACAUAAGAAGUUACCUUUUUCAGGUAAUGGUGUUUUUCUGUAAUUUUCCCAAACCUUUCGCUUCCUCAAGUAUUGCAAAUUUUUAGGGCAUGCUUGAAUGAUUUAAUUAUGAAGAAUAACUACAUUUUAAACUUAAUUUUUUAAAAAAGAAA